CUCUCGGGUGACGAGCGGCGGACGGGUGAGUAAUGUCUGGGAAACUGCCUGAUGGAGGGGGAUAACUACUGGAAACGGUAGCUAAUACCGCAUAAUGUCGCAAGACCAAAGUGGGGGACCUUCGGGCCUCAUGCCAUCAGAUGUGCCCAGAUGGGAUUAGCUAGUAGGUGGGGUAACGGCUCACCUAGGCGACGAUCCCUAGCUGGUCUGAGAGGAUGACCAGCCACACUGGAACUGAGACACGGUCCAGACUCCUACGGGAGGCAGCAGUGGGGAAUAUUGCACAAUGGGCGCAAGCCUGAUGCAGCCAUGCCGCGUGUGUGAAGAAGGCCUUCGGGUUGUAAAGCACUUUCAGCGGGGAGGAAGGCGAUAAGGUUAAUAACCUUGUCGAUUGACGUUACCCGCAGAAGAAGCACCGGCUAACUCCGUGCCAGCAGCCGCGGUAAUACGGAGGGUGCAAGCGUUAAUCGGAAUUACUGGGCGUAAAGCGCACGCAGGCGGUCUGUCAAGUCGGAUGUGAAAUCCCCGGGCUCAACCUGGGAACUGCAUUCGAAACUGGCAGGCUAGAGUCUUGUAGAGGGGGUAGAAUUCCAGGUGUAGCGGUGAAAUGCGUAGAGAUCUGGAGGAAUACCGGUGGCGAAGGCGGCCCCCUGGACAAAGACUGACGCUCAGGUGCGAAAGCGUG
rnacentral:rRNA from 1 species